GACGAACGCUGGCGGCGUGCUUAACACAUGCAAGUUGAACGAUGAAGCCUAGCUUGCUAGGUGGAUUAGUGGCGAACGGGUGAGUAAUACGUGAGUAACCUACCUUUAACUCUGGGAUAAGCCCGGGAAACUGGGUCUAAUACCGGAUACGACCAAUCUCCGCAUGGGGUGUUGGUGGAAAGCGUUAUGUAGUGGUUAUAGAUGGGCUCACGGCCUAUCAGCUUGUUGGUGAGGUAACGGCUCACCAAGGCGACGACGGGUAGCCGGCCUGAGAGGGUGACCGGCCACACUGGGACUGAGACACGGCCCAGACUCCUACGGGAGGCAGCAGUGGGGAAUAUUGCACAAUGGGCGCAAGCCUGAUGCAGCGACGCCGCGUGAGGGAUGACGGCCUUCGGGUUGUAAACCUCUGUUAGCAGGGAAGAAGAGAGAUUGACGGUACCUGCAGAGAAAGCGCCGGCUAACUACGUGCCAGCAGCCGCGGUAAUACGUAGGGCGCGAGCGUUGUCCGGAAUUAUUGGGCGUAAAGAGCUUGUAGGCGGUUUGUCGCGUCUGCUGUGAAAGGCCGGGGCUUAACUCCGUGUAUUGCAGUGGGUACGGGCAGACUAUAGUGCAGUAGGGGAGACUGGAAUUUCUGGUGUAGCGGUGGAAUGCGCAGAUAUCAAGAGGAACACCGAUGGCGAAGGCGGGUCUCUGGUGCUGUGACUGACGCUGAAAAGCGAAAGCAUGGGGAGCCGACAGGAAUAUAAUACCCUUGUAAUCCAAGGGCGAAUUCCACAGUGGAGAUCAAAGCUUAUCGAUACCGUCCACCUCCGGGGGGGGGCCGGGACCCGCGCGUGGUUCUCUCAUCCUAUCGGCUCGCUUGCGCACUUGCAUGACCUGACUUAUUUGUUUCCAUUUUAUUUUUGUCGUUUUCGUUUAGGG
rnacentral:rRNA from 1 species